rnacentral:rRNA from 1 species
GACGAACGCUGGCGGCGUGCUUAACACAUGCAAGUCGAACGCUGAAGCUUGGUGCUUGCACUGGGUGGAUGAGUGGCGAACGGGUGAGUAAUACGUGAGUAACCUGCCCUUGACUCUGGGAUAAGCCUGAGAAACUGGGUCUAAUACUGGAUACGACAUGUCACCGCAUGGUGGUGUGUGGAAAGGGUUUUACUGGUUUUGGAUGGGCUCACGGCCUAUCAGCUUGUUGGUGGGGUAAUGGCUCACCAAGGCGACGACGGGUAGCCGGCCUGAGAGGGUGACCGGCCACACUGGGACUGAGACACGGCCCAGACUCCUACGGGAGGCAGCAGUGGGGAAUAUUGCACAAUGGGCGGAAGCCUGAUGCAGCGACGCCGCGUGAGGGAUGACGGCCUUCGGGUUGUAAACCUCUUUCAGCACGGAAGAAGCGAAAGUGACGGUACGUGCAGAAGAAGCGCCGGCUAACUACGUG